rnacentral:rRNA from 1 species
CCCCACUGCUAUCGGGAUAGGACUAAGACAUGCUAGUUGAGCGCCACAACCGGCGCAGCGCACAGCUCAGUAACACGUGGCUAAUCUGCCCUUGGGACCGGAACACCCCCGGGAAACUGGGGCUAAUUCUCGAUAGGUGAAGAACUCUGGAAUGAGUCUUUGCCGAAAAGAUUAUGAUCGCCCAAGGAUGAGGCCGCGACCGAUCAGGUUGUUGGUGAGGUAAUGGCUCACCAAGCCUUUUACCGGUGCGGGCCGUGAGAGCGGGAGCCCGGAGAUGGGCACUGAGACAAGGGCCCAGGCCCUACGGGGCGCAGCAGUCGCGAAAACUUUGCAAUACACGAAAGUGUGACAGGGCUAUCCCGAGUGCCAUCCGCUGAGGAAGGCUUUUACCCAGUCCAGAACGCUGGGGGAAUAAGGAGAGGGCAAGUCUGGUGUCAGCCGCCGCGGUAAUACCAGCUCUCCGAGUGGUGUGGAUGUUUAUUGGGCCUAAAGCAUCCGUAGCUGGCUAAGUUAGUCCUUUGUUGAAUCCACCGAAUUAAUCGUUGGAUUGCGGGGGAUACUGCUUGGCUAGGGGACGAGAGAGGCAGACGGUAUUUCCGGGGUAGGGGUGAAAUCCUAUAAUCCCGGGAAGACCACCAGUGGCGAAGGCUGUCUGCUAGAACGCGCCCGACGGUGAGGGAUGAAAGCUGGGGGAGCGAACCGGAUUAGAUACCCGGGUAGUCCCAGCUGUAAACGAUGCAGGCUAGGUGUUUGGACGGCCACGUGCCGUUCUAGUGCCGCAGGGAAGCUGUUAAGCCUGCCGCCUGGGGAGUACGAUCGCAAGAUUGAAACUUAA